UUGUUUUUAUGUGGGUCCUGAUUACCAAU
rnacentral:piRNA from 1 species